rnacentral:rRNA from 1 species
GAUGAACGCUGACAGAAUGCUUAACACAUCAGCAAUUGAUUGGUGGCGGACGGGUGAGUAACGCGUAAAGAACUUGCCUCACAGCUAGGGACAACCAUUGGAAACGAAUGCUAAUAAAUAAUACUGUGAGAGAGCUUGGCGUCCCAUUAGCUAGUUGGAGAGGUAACGGCUCACAAAGGCGAUGAUGGGUAGCCGGCCUGCGAGGGUGAUCGGCCACAAGGGGACUGAGACACUGCCCUUAAGCCUACGGGAGGAAUCAGGGGGGAAUAUUGGACAAUGUACCAAAGUCUGAUCCAGCAAUUCUGUGUGCACGAUGCAGUUGUCGGAAUGUAAAGUGCUUUCAGUUGGGAAGCGGUACCAACAGAAGAAGUGACGGCUAACUACGUGCCAGCAGCCGCGGUAAUUC